UUUAGGUUUAUCACAGAUUCUAUCCUCCUGGAAACACUAGAAAACUCCACAGUGCUUUGCUGAUUGCAGAGGGGUAGAGAAAUGGAUCUCUGCUUCCUGAAACAGUCAGUUGAGGACACCUCGAAUUCCUAGGUGAGCUUAGUGCUGUUUACGAGAUCCAGGGAGAGCUUUCAAUCUUGGAGGAGAACCAGGCACAUCAGCAAAGUCCAGAAGCUCCUGAGAAUCAGCUAGUUUCUUUUUCUUUUUUUGAAUAAAAGAACCAAACAGUUCCAA